rnacentral:rRNA from 1 species
GCAUAUCAAUAAGCGGAGGAAAAAGAAACCAACAGGGAUUGCCCCAGUAACGGCGAAGUGAAGCGGCAACAGCUCAAAUUUGAAAUCUGGCCUCGGCCCGAGUUUGUAAUUUGCAGAGGAUGCUUCUGGCGCGGCGCCUUCCGAGUUCCCUGGAACGGGACGCCACAGAGGGUGAGAGCCCCGUAUGGUCGGACGCCAAGCCAGUGUGAAGCUCCUUCGAAGAGUCGAGUAGUUUGGGAAUGCUGCUCUAAGCGGGAGGUAUACGUCUUCUAAAGCUAAAUACCGGCCAGAGACCGAUAGCGCACAAGUAGAGUGAUCGAAAGAUGAAAAGCACCUUGAAAAGGGGGUUAAACAGUACGUGAAAUUGUUGAAAGGGAAGCGCCUGUGACCAGACUUGCGCCGGGCGGAUCAUCCAGCGUUCUCGCUGGUGCGCUCCGCCCGGCUCAGGCCAGCAUCGGUUCUGGCGGGGGGAUAAAGGCGGCGGGAACGUGGCUCCCCCGGGAGUGUUAUAGCCCGCCGUGCAAUGCCCCCGCUGGGACCGAGGUUCGCGCAUCUGCAAGGAUGCUGGCGUAAUGGUCACCAGCGACCCGUCUUGAAACACGGACCAAGGAGUCGUCCAUUACGGCGAGCGUUUGGGUGUAAAACCCCUGCGCGGAAUGAAAGUAAACGUAGGUGAGAGCUUCGGCGCAUCAUCGACCGAUCCUGAUGUACUCGGAUGGAUUUGAGUAAGAGUCGUACCGGACGGACCCGAAAGAUGGUGAACUAUGCCUGUAUAGGGUGAAGCCAGAGGAAAACUCUGGUGGAGGCUCGCAGCGGUUUCUGACGUGCAAAUCGAUCGUCAAAUAAUGGGCAUGGGGGGCGAAAGACUAAUCGAACCAUCUAGUAGCUGGUUACCGCCGA